UAUUUUCUCAAUUAGUUUUUGAAAGAUGUAGUUAAAAGUUCACCUUAUAGAAGCUGCACUCUGUCUCUUAGAUAGGCACAAUCAAGCACUAUUUAAUCAAUUUCGUCUCAUCAGUCCUCGUCACAUACCCUUACAAUAGCUACCUGAACCAGCUGACAAAAAUCAGCAACUUAACAGGGUAGAGAUAAGAUAAUUAGAUAAUUAUACAGAGUAUGAGAAAAGAAUGCUAGUAAAUUAUUUCAGAUGUUAUACAUAUGUAUAAGAUAUACUGCUUAUUUUAACCUGUAAACACCUUUUCAUGUAGUGUAUAAAACGAAACUGUAGGAUUUGAGAAAAGUUACAGGUCUGCUUUAAAGUUUGAAAGGCUCAGUUGUUCACAGUCUUUCCAACAGCAAAAGCCUCUGGGUGGAAAAUCUCUUAUCCUAUAUCUAGUCCUUUAGAAUCAAAAAAGAACUUGCUCAUCUCUUUCUGCAAUACUUAGUCCUUGAGAUAUACACCAAAGGAAUUAAAUCUCUUAUUUGUUUACAUCUCUUAUCUCUGCAUUUUUUAUAGAGCAAUAUGUGGAUUUCAGCCAAUCCAGUGUCUGUAAACCAGGGAGGAUCGGAAGGUAAAAGUUAAAUCUAAGAUUAUCGGAAGAGCAGAGGGAAGGAAAAAGCAAAGGUUCAAGCUGUGACGUUCAUAGAUAGAUCCCUCCUUCAGUUAGUCUUUCAUAGAUAUAGAGGUCAUAUAUUCAUUUGUCUAUGUCAGUUUGCCAAGUGGAGCAUGUUCCAUGUUGUGUCUUGUUGUGGUUAAGUGGUUAAAUCUGUGGAAUGUGGUGUUGUUUUUUCCAUUUUAAUUGCUUUAUUAUGCUUUAUUGGGGCAAUAAUACAUUGGCAUUUUGGGCCUUC